AGCUGGGUAGCCAUGUGCGGACGGGAUAAGCGCUGAAAGCAUCUAAGCGUGAAGCCCCCCUCAAGAUGAGAUUUCCCACAGCGUAAGCUGGUAAGACCCCUUAUAGAUGAUGAGGUGGAUAGGUUCGAGGUGGAAGCGUGGCAACACGUGGAGCUGACGAAUACUAAUCGGUCGAGGGCUUAACCA
rnacentral:rRNA from 1 species